rnacentral:tRNA from 1 species
GGUUCCAUAGUUCAAUGGAUAGAAUAAGUCUCUCCUAAAGAUUAGAUUCGGGUUCGAUUCCCGAUGGAACCA